rnacentral:lncRNA from 10 species
CGGGGGCUGAGGCUUGGUGAGUGAGGCGGAAUACUCAAGCCUGGUGCCGGGGAGGAGAGCCUGGCAGACAGAGCUCUGGGUAGAGUCUGGGUAGAGGGACCUGUGGUGGGAGAAAGAGAGAAGAUCAGAGUGGAGGGGAGAAGCAGGGUUGGGGCCUUGAAGGUACUGCUGAGCAUGUGGGUCCUUAUCCUUACCCUGCAUUGCCCGCAGGCCUGACCUUUGCUUCAUUCUUCAUGGCUGCCAAGUGAGAGUGUGGCCCCUGCAGUGCUUCCUUUGUGUGGCCCCGUAUUGCCCUGUAUAGAAGCAUUUCGUCUUCACAACAACUCUAUGAG